rnacentral:rRNA from 1 species
UACGUAGGCGGAAAAUUAAGUCAGUAGUGAAAUCCUGCAGCUUAACUGUAGAACUGUUAUUGAUACUGGUUUUCUUGAAUAUAGUUGAGGAAGGCGGAAUGUGUAAUGUAGCGGUGAAAUGCUUAGAUAUUACACAGAACACCGAUUGCGAAGGCAGCUUACUAAGCUAUGAUUGACGCUGAGGUACGAAAGCGUGGGGAGCGAACAGGAUUAGAUACCCCUGGUAGUCC